UACGAACCGUGCGAACGUUGUUCGGAAUCACUGGGCUUAAAGGGCGCGUAGGCGGGUGUGCAAGUCUGUGGUGAAAGCCUCCAGCUUAACUGGAGAAGUGCCAUGGAUACUGCACAUCUUGAGGAGGGUAGGGGCAUCUGGAACGGUAGGUGGAGCGGUGAAAUGCGUUGAUAUCGACCGGAACUCCGGUGGCGAAGGCGAGGUGCUGGACCCUUUCUGACGCUGAGGCGCGAAAGCCAGGGGAGCAAACGGG
rnacentral:rRNA from 1 species